GAUGAACGCUGGCGGCGUGCUUAAUACAUGCAAGUCGAGCGAACGGACGAGAAGCUUGCUUCUUGGUCGUUAGCGGCGGACGGGUGAGUAACACGUGGAUAACCUACCUAUAAGACUGGGAUAACUUCGGGAAACCGUAGCUAAUACCGGAUAAUAUUUUGAUCCGCAUGGUUCAAAAGUGAAAGACGGUCUUUCUGUCACGUCUAGAUGGAUCCGCGCUGCAUUGGCUAGUUGUUAAGUUAACGGCUUACCAAGGCAACGAUGCAUAGCCGACCUCAGAGGGUGAUAGCCCACCCUGGAACUUAGACACGGUCCUGGCUCCUACGGGACGCAGCAGACGGGUAUCUUCCGCAGUAGGCGAGAGCCUGACGGAGCAGCGCCGCGUGAGAGGUGACGGUCUUCCGUUCGUGAUACUCUGUUAUUAGUUAAGAACAUAUUUGUCCGUUGCUGUGCACAUCUUGACGGUACCUAAUCAGAAAGCAACGGCUAACUACGUG
rnacentral:rRNA from 1 species